GGAGAGGUACCCAAAGCGGCCGAAUGGGGUCCGGCCAUUUCGCCGGACGGGCUCUGCCCACGCAGGUUCGAAUCCUGCCCUCUCCG
rnacentral:tRNA from 1 species